UACGAAGGGUGCGAGCGUUGUUCGGAAUUAUUGGGCGUAAAGCGCACGUAGGCGGCCUUGUAAGUCUCACUGUGAAAGUCCGGGGCUCAACCCCGGGAUGCCAGGGGAUACUGCGAGGCUGGAGACAAGCAGAGGUUGGUAGAAUUCCGGGUGUAGCGGUGGAAUGCGUAGAGAUCCGGAGGAAUACCAGAGGCGAAGGCGGCCAACUGGGCUUGAUCUGACGCUGAGGUGCGAAAGCGUGGGGAGCGAACAGGAUUAGAAACCCCCGUAGUCC
rnacentral:rRNA from 1 species